GACGAACGCUGGCGGCGUGCUUAACACAUGCAAGUCGAACGGAAAGGCCCUGCUUGCAGGGUACUCGAGUGGCGAACGGGUGAGUAACACGUGGGUGAUCUGCCCUGCACUUCGGGAUAAGCCUGGGAAACUGGGUCUAAUACCGGAUAGGAGCCAUUUUUAGUGUGAUGGUUGGAAAGUUUUUUCGGUGUAGGAUGAGCUCGCGGCCUAUCAGCUUGUUGGUGGGGUAAUGGCCUACCAAGGCGGCGACGGGUAGCCGGCCUGAGAGGGUGGACGGCCACAUUGGGACUGAGAUACGGCCCAGACUCCUACGGGAGGCAGCAGUGGAGAAUAUUGCACAAUGGGCGCAAGCCUGAUGCGGCGACGCCGCGUGGGGGAUGACGGCCUUCGGGUUGUAAACUACUUUCGCUAGGGACGAAGCUUUUGUGACGGUACCUAGAGAAGAAGCACCGGCUAACUACGUG
rnacentral:rRNA from 1 species